rnacentral:rRNA from 1 species
UACGAAGGGGGCUAGCGUUGUUCGGAAUUACUGGGCGUAAAGGGCGCGUAGGCGGUACUUCAAGUCAGGCGUGAAAGCCCCGGGCUCAACCUGGGAACCGCGCUUGAGACUGGAGAACUUGAGUUCGGGAGAGGAUGGUGGAAUUCCCAGUGUAGAGGUGAAAUGCGUAGAUAUUGGGAAGAACACCGAUGGCGAAGGCAGCCAUCUGGACCGACACUGACGCUGAGGCGCGAAAGCGUGGGGAGCAAACAGG